AGUAAAUGAAGUACCAUAACUUUGCACUGUGUUUUGCAUUUACACACCUAGGAUGACAGCCCUGUUGGUGGCAGAGAGGAACAAGAGAGAAAGAGACAUCUAAAAGGCUCCAGGUGGAGAACAUAUGCUACAUCAACUGUCACAGAAGAGAGAACUAGUUUUUCCAUUGUAGGGCAAGAUACUUAUCAGUCAGACAUUUACUUCAAGAGAAGUGGAGAAGCAGGUCACAGUCCUACUUCCAUCGCUAGAAAUGUCAAUACAGCCUGUACAGAGCGUUCUGAAGAAGGAUGAGGAUAUUAACUCAGGACUACAUCAUGAGGAAAGAAAAUGAAACUGCAUUUAAAAUGUACAAAUGGGAAUUCAACAGAGCGGAGAAAUAAGCACCCUGCCUCUCUAUAGGAAGCUGGAGACAGAUUUUGGCAUUAGCUGCCUUCAGCUCUGAAGGCAAAAGCAAACACAGU